rnacentral:rRNA from 1 species
UGCCAGCAGCCGCGGUAAUACGGAGGGUGCGAGCGUUAAUCGGAAUUACUGGGCGUAAAGCGCGCGUAGGCGGCUUAUUAAGUCGGAUGUGAAAUCCCUGGGCUCAACCCAGGAACUGCAUCCGAUACUGAUAGGCUAGAGUAUGGAAGAGGGAAGCGGAAUUCCGGGUGUAGCGGUGAAAUGCGUAGAGAUCCGGAGGAACAUCAGUGGCGAAGGCGGCUUCCUGGUCCAAUACUGACGCUGAGGUGCGAAAGCGUGGGGAGCAAACAGGAUUAGAUA